CGUAGGAUCCAAGCGUUAUCCGGAAUCAUUGGGUUUAAAGGGUCCGUAGGCGGGUUUAUAAGUCAGUGGUGAAAGCCCAUCGCUCAACGAUGGAACGGCCAUUGAUACUGUAGAUCUUGAAUUAUUAGGAAGUAACUAGAAUAUGUAGUGUAGCGGUGAAAUGCUUAGAGAUUACAUGGAAUACCAAUUGCGAAGGCAGGUUACUACUAAUGGAUUGACGCUGAUGGACGAAAGCGUGGGUAGCGAACAGGAUUAGACACCCUGGUAGUCCACGCCGUAAACGAUGGAUACUAGCUGUUCGGAGCAAUCUGAGUGGCUAAGCGAAAGUGAUAAGUAUCCCACCUGGGGAGUACGUUCGCAAGAAUG
rnacentral:rRNA from 1 species